rnacentral:rRNA from 1 species
AGCGAACGCUGGCGGCAGGCUUAACACAUGCAAGUCGAGCGGGCGUAGCAAUACGUCAGCGGCAGACGGGUGAGUAACGCGUGGGAACGUACCUUUUGGUUCGGAACAACACAGGGAAACUUGUGCUAAUACCGGAUAAGCCCUUACGGGGAAUGAUUUAUCGCCGAAAGAUCGGCCCGCGUCUGAUUAGCUAGUUGGUGAGGUAACGGCUCACCAAGGCGACGAUCAGUAGCUGGUCUGAGAGGAUGAUCAGCCACAUUGGGACUGAGACACGGCCCAAACGCCUACGGGGGGCAGCAGUGGGGAAUAUUGGACAAUGGGCGCAAGCCUGAUCCAGCCAUGCCGCGUGAGUGAUGAAGGCCCUAGGGUUGUAAAGCUCUUUUGUGCGGGAAGAUAAUGACGGUACCGCAAGAAUAAGCCCCGGCUAACUUCGUGCCAGCAGCCGCCGUAACAC